rnacentral:rRNA from 1 species
GACGAACGCUGGCGGCGUGCUUAACACAUGCAAGUCGAGCGAUGAAGUUACUUCGGUAAUGAAUUAGCGGCGAACGGGUGAGGAACACGUGAGGAAUCUGCCAUUCACUCUGGGAUAACACCGGGAAACCGGUGCUAAUACCGGAUAUAUAAAUUUUGCGGCAUCGCAGAAUUUAGAAAGUUUUUUGGUGAAUGAUGACCUCGCGGCCUAUCAGCUUGUUGGUGCGGUAAUGGCUCACCAAGGCGACGACGGGUAGCCGGCCUGGGAGGGCGACCGGCCACACUGGGACUGAGACACGGCCCAGACUCCUACGGGAGGCAGCAGUGGGGAAUAUUGGGCAAUGGAGGAAACUCUGACCCAGCGACGCCGCGUGAGGGAUGAAGGCCUUCGGGUUGUAAACCUCUUUCAGUAGGGAAGAAGCGAAAGUGACGGUACCUAAAGAAGAAGCACCGGCUAACUAUGUGCCAGCAGCCGCGGUAA